rnacentral:rRNA from 1 species
GACGAACGCUGGCGGCGUGCCUAAUACAUGCAAGUCGAGCGGACUUAAAAAGCUUGCUUUUUAAGUUAGCGGCGGACGGGUGAGUAACACGUGGGCAACCUGCCUGUAAGACUGGGAUAACUUCGGGAAACCGGAGCUAAUACCGGAUAAUCCUUUCCUACUCAUGUAGGAAAGCUGAAAGACGGUUUACGCUGUCACUUACAGAUGGGCCCGCGGCGCAUUAGCUAGUUGGUGAGGUAACGGCUCACCAAGGCGACGAUGCGUAGCCGACCUGAGAGGGUGAUCGGCCAGACUGGGACUGGGACACGGCCCAGACUCCUACGGGAGGCAGCAGUAGGGAAUCUUCCGCAAUGGACGAAAGUCUGACGGAGCAACGCCGCGUGAGUGAUGAAGGUUUUCGGAUCGUAAAACUCUGUUGUUAGGGAAGAACAAGUACGAGAGUAACUGCUCGUACCUUGACGGUACCUAACCAGAAAGCCACGGCUAACUACGUGCCAGCCGCCGCCGUAA